CUCGUCGGGCUCAUAACCCGAAGGUCGUCGGUUCAAAUCCGGCUCCCGCAACCA
rnacentral:tRNA from 1 species